rnacentral:rRNA from 1 species
CAUGCCGCGUGNGUGAAGAAGGUCUUCGGAUUGUAAAGCACUUUAAGUUGGGAGGAAGGACAGUAAGUUAAUACCUUGCUGUUUUGACGUUACCGACAGAAUAAGCACCGGCUAACUUCGUGCCAGCAGCCGCGGUAAUA